CCUCUUAGCAGAGCGCCAUGUGACGGGGGCGUCCUUGAGCCGCACGCAGGGAGGAGGCAGGUCCCAGACGAGCGCUGAUUGGACGUCAGGACAUCCGAGUGUCGGUGUUCAUAUGACAAAAUAUUGUUCGGAGCGCGUUCAAGUGAAUUUGCCAUUCAGUUCUGGCGAUGGGGAGGCUUUCUGAGUUUCUCCGGUUGCUAAAGACGCUAAUGCUGCCGCAAAAGCACUGGAAACUAGAAGAAAAAAUGUGUGUCUGGGUAAAUAUGGCCUACGCUGCGUCCGGCAUCGGUAUCGCCAUUGGCAUAAUAUACGAAGAGAUCACAUCAAGGAAAAAGGGAACCUCACUGGCAGACGCAAUCUUAAGAGAUGGACCUUGUGUGAAAAAAGAUCAACUUUUCGGCAGGGAUGAAAUAUUUUUAGCGAGCAUGAAGCGCACCUCUGCACCUUUAGGCACUAAGAUGUCGGAAUUUUAUUUUCUACAUUUCAAACCACUUGAAAAGCGUUCAGAAAAAUAUUAUCCUGUAUAAAAUCCUGUUAAAAUAAAAGACCACAGUCAUAUGUAUUAUUGUUUUCUGUUUCAUAAAUAAAAACGUGUAUAUAUUGUAA